AGAAGUUUUCUGAGAGGAAUGGGUGAGUGAGGGAUGCAGCAGCAAAACUUUGUGGAGGAGAUGAAACACAAGGACCUGAAAAUUUCUGCAUGGAGGGGAGACAGCACAUGUUUGGCAUUUCUGUUGGUGUUUUCUUGGACAGCAGAGAGAGACUGGGAGCUGGUUCCUGCAAUCAGACUUCCUUGAUGUCCUUCUCUCAUGGAGGGAAUCAAAGAACUCCAUUCGUGAAAGGCUGACAAGCCCUGGCAUACUUGGAGAGACCAAACAAAGUUUUCAAAGCAGCUGAUGGAUAUUUCAGUAGGAAGGACUCAGUCAACAGACUUGGCAGAGGACCCCAUCGUUUCUCACCUACCUUUCACCAAUAGUGAGGAAUAAGUGUUGGGUGUCAGGCUGUAGACUUCACUUUUAAAAAGCAGGAAGUCUUGACUGCUCUCCAGGAUCCAGCCGCAGGCUCCAGACCUGUUGAUAUUUUCAGAUACAUGGGAACUAUGAAUUCUUUGUGGAAAAGAGCUCCAUGUAAAGGACUUGAAAUAAAAAUCCCCCAUGUAAACAGUAAUGUGCUACCUAACAACCCUGUCUCUUGUGAUCAUGACAACGUUUUCUUUCUUUGCCUGUGUGAGGAACAUAGGGGUUCACAUUUAUGAAGGUAUGCUUUGAUUAAUGCCUUUAUUGUUAGUCCAUAGAAUGCAGCCUUCGUUUAAAUUUCCAUUUUGUUUGGUACAAUUUUGCUCAUUGUGUACAUUAUUGGGCAGAAUAUCCUUGUUGGUUCAUUUACAAUGGUAAGUGCUCUUCUCUCCAGGGUCACCACCAAUGCUUUUACAUUCUGAUGGGUUCAGUCUUGCUGCUGGCACAGAUCACUGUGACUUCAUGUCCAAAAAUGUAUGCCCUGUUAGGCACACUGAAAAGAUGUUUCAUUACUGCUGUGGAAUAGAGCACACUCAACUUAUCUCUUAUUGAAACAAAAAGGUGGGUCUGAAGUGAGUUUCUCCCCCCUUUUUCCUAUCAGCAGCUCUCUCUUUCUGUGUGUGAAUGUGUGUGUGUGUGAGCAUAUACACUCAUAUCAGCUUCUUAGGAACUGUACACUGCUUUCAGUGUGUAAAACUACUGCUUUCCACAGAGAUUUGCAGCUUACAGAUGAGAAACUGAGGCACAAAAAAGCUGGCAACUAGAUUUUUUCCAUUUUGAGACAUAAAUUCUGGAUGGGAACUGGGAUGAGGUAUCUGAAUGAGAUACUCAGAGAGCUGUUGAAAAGGAGUUUUUAUAGGAUCUCUUGAACCAGGCACAUCAAACAGUGAAGGAGCAGGGGUUGGAUCAAGCAGUCCUGUUUGGUGGUACCCCAUUGUUGAGGUGAUGUGUACUAUAUUUGUAUCCACCAGACUGCAAGACAGGGCAGGGCUAAUUCCACCUGGGGAUCCAGCCUGAAAUGGUUUUUCCACAGUUUCUGGUUCUUAACAUUUUCUUAUAACAUCCUGAAAACUCUUCUUAGACUUCAGGUGCUCAAAAUAUUCAGGCUUCUAAAUUAGCUGCUUAUUGUUGCCUAUCCCGACAUGGGGACAUCCCAUUGAGCAGGGCUGGAUGUCCAUUAGCCACCCAAAUGCUCACCAGAGCUUGCAGGCUGAGGCUGGGUGCUGGCUGGAUGUCACACAUGGUGACUUAAAACGGUGCUUGCCCAGGGAAUUUGGCUCUUUGAUCCGCGUUUGAUAAUUGGAUCAUUCCUAAACUUGAAACUUGUUCCUGGGGGAGAAACACACGUGCAGAGUGAAAGGACAGGAUUUGUGCCACCCUUUUCCAUCCAGAAAUCUAACCUGUAUUUGUGGAAGAAAUUGUGUUGACCUUAGCCAAGUGAGGAAACACAAACCUAGGAAAGAUGCCCCAAAGUAACCAGUUGUGCUUUCACCCUGAUGACAUGGUGUGGGGCAGUCCAAAUCACACCCUCAGCAGUGAGUGAACGUCUCCUUGGUGGCAGGCUGGCUUCACAGAUAAAACAGUGCAGUGAUAGGACUGCCAGGUAUUAUUUUAAAGGAACCUCAGUUAAUGAGCACCUAUUACAACAACUCUGACAGAACUUAGGCUUCAGGCUGGCUGCAGAGCAAACCGAAAGCAGCUAGAAGAGAAACAAAAAUACUGUGGGGUAACAUCAAUAUGUUGACCACAGGGUCCCUCCAGUGCAAAAUAUUCUGGGACACUAAUAAAAAUAAAUUAAUCCUUCCAGCCAACUUAAAUAUCCCCUGACAUAAAGAAUUUAGAUUCACUAUUUUUAAACACUGAAGAAGAAAAAAAAUUAUCACUUGUGCAAUGUUGUUACAAGAUUUCUCCCAUAGCCCUUAACUCAGGCAUAUUUCAUAGUGUGUAUUAAUACAUAAGCAAUCACACAGAGCAGUUUUUAUUUAAUAAGAAAACAGGAAUAUAAAAUUAUAAUAUGUACAGAAUAAGACAGGACUGAACUUUUUCUGGGCCACUGGAUGUUAAAACCUUCCAUCUCCAUGGGGGUUUGCCAGAAUUCCUCCAUGCUUCAGCAGCAGACAAUGAACUAGAUUGUGACUCCAUGGAGCUGAAUUCCUCCAAGCAAAUAGCUGGGAUGGAUAACAUGCCAUGCCCCAGCUUCUGGUGCAGUACUUGCUAACUCAGAAUUUUCUAGCCUGUAGAGAAGGCCUCCAUGACAGGGAAGGAUGGGAUGGCUGGAAGGGCAAGGCUAGGGAGCAGCUCAUCUGUAGUUUUGGGGAUCUCACUGGUCAGCACCUCUGCAGAAGGUCAGCAGUAUCUCCUGCUGUCCUGGUGAAAUGGGGCAAAAAUCUGAGAUGAGACUCUCAUAGCUGAGGCUGCCUCUGCAAAGAAUGGGAGAUCUUCUCAGCAUCUGGUGAAAGCCAUGCUUGCCUGCUGAAGGCAUUUUCAAGAGAUAAAAGGAGCAAACUGACCAGCUGGACACAUCAUAAAAUCUGUUGGCUGUCAUGUGAAUACGACUUGUGCUGAGGAAACAGACUCGAGGAGAAAGAAGGAACUGAGGCGCUGGAAAACUGACCUCAGACCACUGGCAAGGUGGCCACAUGUAGAGCACUGGCCGUGUACAAGGCCACCUGUCUUCUUCCUGCUGUGCCACAAAGUGCAUGGAUGUUAGAAGUCAUGUGUGAUUUUAUUUGGUGGGGACCCAGAACUUGUCAGCAAAACUGAGGACCGAUCACAGGCCUGUGUUCAACAUCUUCCUGAGAAAACUGCUCAAAAUAUAUGACUACAUUUUCUUUUGUGAGGUCUUUUUCAGCAU